rnacentral:rRNA from 1 species
UACGUAGGGUGCAAGCGUUUGUCCGGAAUUAUUGGGCGUAAAGAGCUCGUAGGCGGUCUGUCGCGUCUGCUGUGAAACCUAGGGCUUAACUCUGGGCGUGCAGUGGGUACGGGCAGACUAGAGUGCGGUAGGGGAGACUGGAAUUCCGUGGUGUAGCGGUGAAAUGCGCAGAUAUCAGGAGGAACACCGGUGGCGAAGGCGGGUCUCUGGGAAACAACUGACGCUGGAGGAACGAAAGCCGUGGGUAGCAAACAGG